rnacentral:rRNA from 1 species
GCGUAACCGAUGAUUACUAGGUUGGGGGGGGUCUGACCCCCUUCCGUGCGGAGUUAACACAAUUAAGUAAUCCCACUUGGGGAGUACGACCGCAAGGUUGAAACUCAAAGGAAUUGACGGGGGCCCGCACAAGCAGUGGAGUAUGUGGAUUAAUUCGAAGCAACGCGAAGAACCUUACCAGGUCUUGACAUCCAGCUAACGAAGUAGAGAUACAUUAGGUGCCCUUCGGGGAAAGCUGAGACAGGUGGUGCAUGGUUGUCGUCAGCUCGUGUCGUGAGAUGUUGGGUUAAGUCCCGCAACGAGCGCAACCCUUACUGUUAGUUGCUACGCAAGAGCACUCUAGCAGGACCGCCGUUGACAAGACGGAGGAAGGUGGGGAUGAUGUCAAAUCAUCAUGCCCCUUAUGACCUGGGCCUCACACGUACUACAAUGGCCGUUAACAGAGGGAAGCAAUACCGCGAGGUGGAGCAAAACCCUAAAAACGGUCCCAGUUCGGAUUGUAGGCUGCAACCCGCCUGCAUGAAGUUGGAAUUGCUAGUAAUCGCGGAUCAGCAUGCCGCGGUGAAUACGUUCCCGGGCCUUGUACACACCGCCCGUCACACCAUGGGAGCCGGUAAUACCCGAAGUCAGUAGUCUAACCGCAAGGAGGGCGCUGCCGAAGGUAGGAUUGGCGACUGGGGUGAAGUCGUAACAAGGUAGCCGUAUCGGAAGGUGUGGAUG